UUCAUGAAACAAGCGCAUUGCGUGUAUAUAGUCAUCAGUGGUCGUAGUAAAACGAUGAUAAAUUCCAGGAGGAAGUAUUAUUAAGUCGCCUUUCUCAACAAAAAUUCGAACCCAUCUAUCAUCGACAGAACGGACAUCAAAGUAACCAUUACCAUCGAGAAUUAAUCGAAUUUCCUCAUCUUCGUGCAAAUGUUCUUCAAAGAACUUCUUUACCAUAUUGUCAUAACGAUCUCCAAGUCCUUUUCUACUAACAACAACUUCAUCCCGAUUUUUAAAUCCAUAUUCUUUCAUAAGGCCAUCGGCGAAGGUAUGUAGAUCUCCAUCAUGAUGUCUAUAGGACACUUUAGCAGCUUCUAAAUCUUCAGCUGAAACUUCAAUCUUUGAGUCAUUCGGCUUUCUUUGAUCGCCUUCGUCUUGGAAAAUGUAUGCUCUCAUUGAUGUUAUUUUUAUGUUGAGUCACGAGCAAAUUAAAGAAAAUUAAGACUUUUUUAAAUUAUUGAACGAAAAACUUUAGACUAAACAGAAGAGGUGUCAAUUGGAAAGCAGGCAAAACACUACU